AUUGAACGCUGGCGGCAUGCCUUACACAUGCAAGUCGAACGGCAGCGCGGGAGCAAUCCUGGCGGCGAGUGGCGAACGGGUGAGUAAUAUAUCGGAACGUGCCCAGUAGUGGGGGAUAGCCCGGCGAAAGCCGGAUUAAUACCGCAUACGACCUACGGGUGAAAGGGGGGGAUCGCAAGACCUCUCGCUAUUGGAGCGGCCGACAUCAGAUUAGGUAGUUGGUGGGGUAAAGGCCUACCAAGCCUGAGAUCUGUAGUUGGUCUGAGAGGACGACCAGCCACACUGGGACUGAGACACGGGCCAGACUCCUACGGGAGGCAGCAGUGGGGAAUUUUGGACAAUGGGCGCAAGCCUGAUCCAGCAAUGCCGCGUGCAGGAAGAAGGCCUUCGGGUUGUAAACUGCUUUUGUCAGGGAAGAAAUCCUCUGGGUUAAUACCUCGGGGGGAUGACGGUACCUGAAGAAUAAGCACCGGCUAACUACGUGCCAGCCGCCGCCGUAAAAC
rnacentral:rRNA from 1 species